rnacentral:rRNA from 1 species
AAGGGAGCUUGACUGUGAGGCUGACAAGCCGAGCAGGUGGGAAACCAGGACUUAGUGAUCCGGCGGUUCCGCAUGGAAGGGCCGUCGCUCAAAGGAUAAAAGGUACAUAAUAAAGGGUUAUUGUUGCCUAUGUUCAGCGGA